GCUGGGGGUGAAAGGCCAAUCAAACCGGGAGAUAGCUGGUUCUCCCCGAAAGCUAUUUAGGUAGCGCCUCGUGAAUUCAUCUCCGGGGGUAGAGCACUGUUUCGGCUAGGGGGCCAUCCCGGCUUACCAACCCGAUGCAAACUGCGAAUACCGGAGAAUGUUAUCACGGGAGACACACGGCGGGUGCUAACGUCCGUCGUGAAGAGGGAAACAACCCAGACCGCCAGCUAAGGUCCCAAAGUCAUGGUUAAGUGGGAAACGAUGUGGGAAGGCCCAGACAGCCAGGAUGUUGGCUUAGAAGCAGCCAUCAUUUAAAGAAAGCGUAAUAGCUCACUGGUCGAGUCGGCCUGCGCGGAAGAUGUAACGGGGCUAAACCAUGCACCGAAGCUGCGGCAGCGA
rnacentral:rRNA from 1 species